GGCCUGUGGUCACUACCUAUGUCUUCAAGUACUGUUAUUUUAGAAGAGUCUGUAAUGUCUGUAGAGAUAAAAGUUAGGUCAGGUCUGCUAGUUGUGUUGUGUGCUCUGUGGAGGAAAGUUGGAGGUGAAGUUUUGUUUUGCAGAAGUUGUAGGUUAGAGGCAUUUGUUACAUCCUCUAUUUCUUUCCCACGCUUGUUGUAGUGUGGGUAGCCUAGGGAAGUUGUAGGUUAGAGGCAUUUGUUACAUCCUAUAUUUCUUUGCCACGCUUGUUGUAGUGUGGGUAACCUAGGUAAGGUGUGUGUGCAUUGAUGUCGCCAGCUAUUAUUGUCCUUGUGUAGUGUGGUAGUUGUAUGUCUAUUUCUGCUGUUGAUGAUGGUGGGCAAUAGUAGUUUUUGAUGGUGUACUUUGUUCCUCCUCUCCAAAGAAGUAUUUCCUGCGUGUUGAUGUCUGUAUGUUCUGUACUUGUUUUACUGUAGCUUGUGCGUCGUUUCUUAUGAGGGUCAUAAUUCCCUGGCAUUUGGUGCAAAGGCAUCUGUACUGUGUGUAGCCUGUGAUGUUUAUUUUUUUCUUGGGCAGUAGUGUUUCUUGCAAUAGCGCUAUGUGUAUAUCAUGCUUCUUGAGUAUGUGUUGGAGUUCUGUUGUCUUGUUUUGUAGGCCUAAGA
rnacentral:sRNA from 1 species